UACGUAGGGGGCAAGCGUUGUCCGGAUUCAUUGGGCGUAAAGCGCGUGUAGGCGGCCAGGUAGGUCCGGUGUGAAAACUCGAGGCUCAACCUCGAGAGGUCAUCGGAAACCAUCUGGCUAGAGUCCGGAAGAGGAGAGUGGAAUUCCCGGUGUAGCGGUGAAAUGCGCAGAUAUCGGGAAGAACACCUAUGGCGAAGGCAGCUCUCUGGGACGGUACUGACGCCGAGACGCGAAAGCGUGGGGAGCGAACAGG
rnacentral:rRNA from 1 species